rnacentral:rRNA from 1 species
CCUACGGGAGGCAGCAGUGAGGAAUAUUGGUCAAUGGACGAGAGUCUGAACCAGCCAAGUAGCGUGAAGGAUGACUGCCCUAUGGGUUGUAAACUUCUUUUAUAAAGGAAUAAAACGAGGCACGUGUGCCGUUUUGCAUGUACUUUAUGAAUAAGGAUCGGCUAACUCCGUGCCAGCAGCCGCGGUAAUACGGAGGAUCCGAGCGUUAGCCGGAUUUAUUGGGUUUAAAGGGAGCGUCGAUGGGUUGUUAAGUCAGUUGUGAAAGUUUGCGGCUCAACUGUAAAAUUGCAAUGGAUACUGGCAGUCUUGAGUACAGUUGAGGUAGGCGGAAUUCGUGGUGUAGCGGUGAAAUGCUUAGAUAUCACGAAGAACCCCGAUUGCGCAGGCAGCUUACUAAACUGUGCCUGACAUUGAUGCUCGAAAGUGUGGGUAUCAAACAGGAUUAGAUACCCCAGUAGUC